UCAAAUUAAAAGUGAUGAUUUAUCAUCUUACAAAUUUAAUUAUUCAUAAGCAUUAUUCAAAUUAAAAGUGAUGAUUUAUCAUCCAAUGAAUACAUUUUCAUGGAACAUGUUUCUCCCAAGGAGUAUGUCCAAUAUGAAGGGUUAUAGCUCUUCAAAUUGUAUUCAUUGAGUGCAUAUAAAUAGAGGCAUUAUGGUGCUCACAAAAUAUACAAUUACAAGCAAUUUUAUUUUCAGAAGAUAGAGUAAAAAUUAGGGAAUUCCUCGAUUUUGCUAAUCAAAGGAAAUUCAAAACUUCGUUGUAUACCGAGAAGACUUUUGUCUUAACUAGCAACUUUGUGUGAGGGCAAAUAGUUCUCUUUGAAAAGCGUCAUUUGUGCCUUGAAGUUUACUGUUUAUUCCCAUACAAGUCUCCGGUUCUAUCGUCUCCACUCAAAUUUCUAACAAUUCCCUAUUACAUGUCACUAAGUACCAAUUGCAAAUACAAAUGUUUCAUACUCUUCAAUGAUGACAAUAAUAUUUGUUUGUGAUCCUUGAUAUGCAUCGAACCUUGAUUUAGAAGACCAGGCGCAAAAACAAUGGAGCGUUAAGCAUAAAACUUAGUACGAUAUUACAAAAUACCUUAUAUACUUACCUUUAAAAACUGUAGACUGGAACACACACAAUGUUUUACAAAACAUUUAGAAGUAAUGUAAAUGAAAACUACAUAACAAUAAAAAAAACAAAGAACAGUUUAGUACCAUAAAUAACACAUAUAAAUAUUUGCAUCAAAUAGUUGAAGUAUCCACUUUUAUCAUGUCAACAUCAUUUUUUUCUCAAAAUAAUAAUUAGUUAACUUCAUCCCUCAAUAUGCCUAGACCAGAUCAGGAUCGCACCAUAGUGCUAGGAAUAGGAGCAUCGAAGUUCUAGUCAUAGAAAUAUCAAAGUACAAAAUAGGAGACCUCUAUUAGUAUGUCAAUUGUAUCCUAAUUAUUUAACUAAGCUAUUAAAAUCUUGUUAUAGUAUUUUCAGAACAUCAAUAUUAAUAUUUCAAAUAAGUUUACUAUUUCAAAACAAUAUCCAAAAUCACAACUACCAUAACACAAGACAAUAGUUCCAACCAUAACAUUAACCAAAUCAAAUUCAAGCUUUCAUUAACAUUUUCACCGGGAAACUUAACUUGAAAGUCAUGAGUAAAAUCAUUUUUUUUGCCACCCAAAUUGUUAUCAUUGUUCGACAUUGUUGAACUUUUCACACAUGUUCGUAACCACACUUUUAUAAACACUUGAACAUUAAUAUAUAACAACACAUUCAAUUAAUAACAAUAAAAUAAUAAAAAUCAAUAUUAAUUUUAAGAUAGGCUGUUAAUGAAUUUCUUAUAUAUCUUACCACACAAAAAAAUAUUCAAAAAGUGUUGAAGAAGCCUAAAUCCACCUUAAAUCUACUAGCUUUUCCUUUCCCUUACUAGCAUUUCCCAUUCCUUUCUUCAAUUUAUUUCAUAAACAAUAAAUAUCCCUUAACUCAUAAUCACUAAAUAGCCAUUAAUAUGACUCAAUAACUUAAUAAAUAUGAUAUGAGAUAAAAACUAUAAAACCCAAACCUUGAUUACCUUUCUUCUUCCUUCUAAUACACUUUCACUCACUAGGAUUCAAACCCUAAAUACUUGGAUGAUGGGGUUGAUGAAGGUUAUGGCUCAAUAAAGGAUUUGUUAAGAUAGUUUGGUAAGAAAAUGAUGGAAGAAGGUUGAGAAAAGAAAAGAAAAGUGUGUAGAAAUGGAGGAGAAAUGAAGAAAAAUGGAGUUGGUUUCCUUUAAAUAUGGUCGGCCACACGUUUGAAGAGAAGAGAAGAUAAGAUGUUUUCUUUUUCUUC
rnacentral:lncRNA from 1 species